CUCUCUCUCUCUCCGUCCGUCCAUAUGUAAAACCUCCCAACACAAUAAUAAGGAAAGACAAUUUAGUAUAAGAGAAUUCAUGUUUCAAUGUUAUAUCACAUUAUAAAUUCUUUAACAUUUAGGCAAUUUAGCAAAUAAAUAUGGUAUGAGCUUCCAAUAUAAAAUGUUUGUAACAUUGUAAAAAAUAGAAGGUCAGUUAUCUUGGUAGAAAAAUUUGUUUUUGUGUUUGUGAACUGAAGCCAUGAUGAGAAAAUUAUAUAUAUUAAUAUAUUGAGAAAACUCAAUAUACAAUAUGCACCAACCACUACAACCACAUCACCUUACCGAAGCACAAUUGCUCCUUUAAGCAAGCUUCCUCUGCAGUUUGCUGUUCAUGUGGACUCAUACGAUGCUCCUUCAUGCCUUUAUGGAGAUUACUUUCCCACUUUCUUGUCACCAACUCCGAAUAAUGGAGUGAAUCUGCCUGCCUUUGUCAACCGCACCCUCAAAAUCAAAGUCAGAUCCAGAGCACAAUACACCACGAUUGUUGGCCUGGUUGUCACUGGACCAAAGGGCAUUUCAAAUCAGCAAAUCUCCACAGAAGAAUAUGUCAUAAAAUGGACACCAACAGAAAAUUAAUUGAAUGAUGAUUUUCCAUCAUUUGCUUUGUUUCAGAAGCAAGAGAC